AUGGGCCCAACUGGGCCGGAUGGGACCAGAGGGGGGAAAUCUGCCACCGACGAAAGAGGGGGAGGAGAAGCAGGCCCAUUGGGCAACGGCAAACCGCAAGGCCCAUCAAGCCCACCCGAGGGGACGUCCCGCGGCCCGAUGGCCACCAUGGAGAAAUCGAGAUCUAGGUUACACGAUGCCACCAGCGACCCCGCCGUCGCCGCUGCCGGCGACGAGGCCGCCAUAGAGGCUGCAAGAGAGGGGGAUGGGAGGCCACCAAGCUCCCCAUCAGGCGCACUGCCCUGGACAACGAGAUCAGGUGAUGCAACAGCAAACUUACCAGACUUACGCCGCCGCCGAGAGAUCUGA
rnacentral:rRNA from 1 species